rnacentral:rRNA from 1 species
GACGAACGCUGGCGGCGUGCCUAAUACAUGCAAGUUGAGCGCUGAAGGUUGGUACUUGUACCAACUGGAUGAGCAGCGAAUGGGUGAGUAACGCGUGGGGAAUCUGCCUUUGAGCGGGGGACAACAUUUGGAAACGAAUGCUAAUACCGCAUAAAAGCUUUAAACACAAGUUUUAAGUUUGAAAGAUGCAAUUGCAUCACUCAAAGAUGAUCCCGCGUUGUAUUAGCUAGUUGGUGAGGUAAAGGCUCACCAAGGCGAUGAUACAUAGCCGACCUGAGAGGGUGAUCGGCCACAUUGGGACUGAGACACGGCCCAAACUCCUACGGGAGGCAGCAGUAGGGAAUCUUCGGCAAUGGACGAAAGUCUGACCGAGCAACGCCGCGUGAGUGAAGAAGGUUUUCGGAUCGUAAAACUCUGUUGGUAGAGAAGAACGUUGGUGAGAGUGGAAAGCUCAUCAAGUGACGGUAACUACCCAGAAAGGGACGGCUAACUACGUG